GUACACUCCUGCGGGAGGCAGCAGUGGGGAAUUUUGGACAAUGGGCGAAAGCCUGAUCCAGCCAUGCCGCGUGCAGGAUGAAGGCCUUCGGGUUGUAAACUGCUUUUGUACGGAACGAAACGGCCUUUUCUAAUAAAGAGGGCUAAUGACGGUACCGUAAGAAUAAGCACCGGCUAACUACGUGCCAGCAGCCGCGGUAAUACGUAGGGUGCAAGCGUUAAUCGGAAUUACUGGGCGUAAAGCGUGCGCAGGCGGUUAUGUAAGACAGUUGUGAAAUCCCCGGGCUCAACCUGGGAACUGCAUCUGUGACUGCAUAGCUAGAGUACGGUAGAGGGGGAUGGAAUUCCGCGUGUAGCAGUGAAAUGCGUAGAUAUGCGGAGGAACACCGAUGGCGAAGGCAAUCCCCUGGACCUGUACUGACGCUCAUGCACGAAAGCGUGGGGAGCAAACAGGAUUAGAUACCCCUGUAGUCC
rnacentral:rRNA from 1 species